AUGAGUCCGUUUGCCGCCGCCUUCAUCCAGCCGAUGAGCUCACGAAGCUCUGAUUCAGGCCAGCAAGGACCCGACACGCACGUCGCUCCACUCUGGCGCCACCUGCUGGCAGGAGCGGCCCGCCAGGAGCUCCAGGCUCCUCCUGCAUCCAUCCACCUUCCGCUCCGUGCUGCGCGCCGUGUCGCGCCGUCCUCUGCAGAGUCUGGAGACGGGAGCGGCACGAGCGCAGAAGAGCGGAGCGCAUCGUUGAAGAGUCAUCGGUGCAGGAGGAGCAGGACGGAGGAAAGAAAGAGGCGCUCAUCGUCGUCAUCCGCGUCGUCCUCUUCAUGUGAGCCCCACCGGUCAGUCGCAACGAGUCAGCGAAUGAAUCAUGAUUCAUUUCAUGUGGGUGAUGCUCAGUGCUCCUGGUGCUCAGUGCUCCUGGUGCUCAGUGCUCACGGUCACCGACGUCGUUAUAUUAGCCGAUGUGAUGUGUGGUUUUUGCGCUCCGAGCCUCGAGCCUCGAGCCUCUGCUCUCUUCUGUCAUCAUCUCCGUCACGGAUUCUCUCCGGCGCAGCAUCACCUGUGCGAAAACAAACGAAGCGGUCGUGCGCGCGCACGUGUGUGUGUGUGUGUGUGUGUGUGUGUGUGUGUGUGUGUGUGUGUGUGUGUGUGUGUGUGUGUGUGUGGGAGGGAGAGGCGGCAAUGAGCUCCCGUACACACUCAUUUAUUGUUCCAGACGCGCGCAGAGGAGCUGUCCAUCAUGUGGAACGGAACAAAUGUUACAUUAUUAUCGUUUCCUUCUUCCUUUUCAUUUACUGCUUAACUGACCUGUCGACUCAGAGUGAAGUGUGUUCACAUGAUUUACUGCUAUACCCGUGUGCGUGCACGCGCACACACACACACACACACACACACACACACACACACACACACACACACACACACACACACACACACACCUGUGCUCCGCGCGGUUUCUCUGCUGUGUGUCGAAUGUUCGGUCUGAUUCCUCUGUGUGUUUUACAUGUAUCAUCCGCAUCUGCGUCACGUGUGUGUCUGCGGCACGGGAACAAACAGGUGUGA
rnacentral:lncRNA from 1 species